GCAGAUCACUUCAGCCCAAGAGUUUGAGACCAGCCUGGGCAACAUACUGAGACCCCCAUCUCUACAAAAAAUAAAAAAUUAGCCCAACGCAGUGGUGCAUGCUUGCAGUCCCAGCUGCUCAGGAGGUUGAGGCAUCAGUGAGCAGUAACUGUGCCACCGCACUCCAGCCUGGAUGACAGAGCAAGACCCUGUCUCAAAAACAAAAAAAAAAAGCACCUCUGUUGGACCAUGCUAAGAUAGAAAAGACAGCCAAGAGCUGAGCCAGGCACAGGCCAGCAUUGAGCGCUCAGAAACGACACCUGGAAAAUGUGCUGUCUGGGGGGCCUGGAGCUGAGAGGUGACGUCGCUCAUCAGAGACCUUGUCAAAGGCCAGCUCAGUGAAGAGCGGAGCGGACUGAAGUGAGCGGAGGGGAGGAAGUGUAGACCACGAGAGGAAAGAAAUAAGCAUCAGGCCGGGCGCUGUGGCUCAUGCCUGUAAUCCCAGCACUUUGGGAGGCUAACGCAGGCAGAUCAAGAGGUCAGGAGUUCGAGACCAGCCUGGCCAACAUGGCGAAACCCCGUCUCUAGUAAAAAUACAAAAAUUAUCCAGGUGCAGUGGCGCGUGCCUGUAGUCCCAGCCCCUCGGCGCAGGAAAAUCACUUGAACCCAGGAGGUGGAGGUUGCAGUAAGCCGAGAUGGCGCCACUGAAGUCCAGUCUGGGCAACAGAGCAAGACUCUGUAGCGAAGGGAAAAAAAAAAAAAAAAGAAGCAUCAGCUCAAGGGUGGUCACCUAGGACGUGUCAUCAUCACAGGAGGAAGGACUGAAGUCUUCAGGCCUCUAUGCCAUUGACUGUUCACGGCCUGGCUGACCCCUUUCUCAGGAUGUCCUACAACAGCCGGAGCCCAGAGGACAGAGCCCAGGCUGAGAGUCAGCAAGCAGAGGGGGCACUCUGCCCUGAAGCCUGGGCUCACUCCCUGCACUCAAAUGAUGGAGAGAAAUAAGCAGGAUUCUGU
rnacentral:lncRNA from 1 species